rnacentral:rRNA from 1 species
CGAACGCUGGCGGCGUGCUUAACACAUGCAAGUCGAACGGAAAGGCCCCUUUGGGGGUACUCGAGUGGCGAACGGGUGAGUAACACGUGAGUAACCUGCCCUUGACUUCGGGAUAACUUCAGGAAACUGGGGCUAAUACCGGAUAGGAAUCCUUGCUGCAUGGUGGGGGUUGGAAAGCUUCGGCGGUUUUGGAUGGACUCGCGGCUUAUCAGCUUGUUGGUGGGGUAGUGGCUUACCAAGGCUUUGACGGGUAGCCGGCCUGAGAGGGCGACCGGCCACAUUGGGACUGAGAUACGGCCCAGACUCCUACGGGAGGCAGCGGUGGGGAAUAUUGCACAAUGGGCGGAAGCCUGAUGCAGCAACGCCGCGUGCGGGAUGACGGCCUUCGGGUUGUAAACCGCUUUCAGCAGGGGCGAAGCUUGUGGUGACGGUACCUGCAGAAGAAGCACCGGCUAACUACGUG